ACACAUGCAAGUCGAGCGGGGAAUGGAUGGUAGCUUGCUACUGUUUGUUUCUAGCGGCGGACGGGUGAGUAACGCGUGAGCAACCUGCCUUUAUCAGGGGGAUAACGCAUCGAAAGAUGUGCUAAUACCGCGUAAGACCACAGCUUCACAUGGAGCGGGGGUCAAAGGAGCAAUCCGGAUAAAGAUGGGCUCGCGUCCGAUUAGCUAGUUGGUGAGAUAACAGCCCACCAAGGCGACGAUCGGUAGCCGACCUGAGAGGGUGAUCGGCCACAUUGGAACUGAGAGACGGUCCAGACUCCUACGGGAGGCAGCAGUGGGGAAUAUUGGGCAAUGGGCGAAAGCCUGACCCAGCAACGCCGCGUGAGGGAAGAAGGGUUUCGGCUCGUAAACCUCUGUCCUAUGGGACGAAGGAAGUGACGGUACCAUAGGAGGAAGCCCCGGCUAACUACGUGCCAGCAGCCGCGGUAAUACGUAGGGGGCGAGCGUUGUCCGGAAUGAUUGGGCGUAAAGGGCGCGUAGGCGGCCUGCUAAGUCUGGAGUGAAAGUCCUGCUUUCAAGGUGGGAAUUGCUUUGGAUACUGGUGGGCUGGAGUGCAGGAGAGGAAAGCGGAAUUACCGGUGUAGCGGUGAAAUGCGUAGAGAUCGGUAGGAACACCAGUGGCGAAGGCGGCUUUCUGGACUGAAACUGACGCUGAGGCGCGAAAGCGUGGGGAGCAAACAGGAUUAGAUACCCUGGUAGUCCACGCGGUAAACGAUGAAUGCUAGGUGUAGGAGGUAUCGACCCCUUCUGUGCCGCAGUAAACACAAUAAGCAUUCCGCCUGGGGAGUACGGCCGCAAGG
rnacentral:rRNA from 1 species